rnacentral:rRNA from 1 species
UGCCAGCAGCCGCGGUAAUACGGGGGGGGCAAGUGUUAUUCGGAAUUACUGGGCGUAAAGAGUACGUAGGCGGUUUAUUAAGUUGAAAGUGAAAUCCCAUGGCUCAACUAUGGACUGAUUUUCAAAACUAAUAGGCUAGAGUAUGAUAGAGGAUAAUGGAAUUUCUAGUGUAGAGGUAGAAUUCGUUAAUAUUAGAAGGACCUCCAGAAGCGAAGGCGAUUAUCUGGGUCAUUACUGACGCUGAGGUACGAAAGCGUGGGGAGCAAACAGGAUUAGAUA